rnacentral:rRNA from 1 species
AACGAACGCUGGCGGCAUGCCUAACACAUGCAAGUCGAACGAGACCUUCUGGUCUAGUGGCGCACUGGUGCGUGACGCGUGGGGACCUGCCCUUAGGUUCGGAAUAACUCCCCGAAAGGGGUGCCAAUACCGGAUAAUGUCUUAGGACCAAAGAUUGAUCGCCUUUGGAUGGGCCCGCGUUGGAUUAGCUAGUUGGUAGGGUAAAAGCCUACCAAGGCGACGAUCCAUAGCUGGUCUGAGAGGAUGAUCAGCCACACUGGGACUGAGACACGGCCCAGACUCCUACGGGAGGCAGCAGUGGGGAAUAUUGGACAAUGGGCGAAAGCCUGAUCCAGCAAUGCCGCGUGAGUGAUGAAGGCCUUAGGGUUGUAAAGCUCUUUUACCCGGGAUGAUAAUGACAGUACCGGGAGAAUAAGCUCCGGCUAACUCCGUG